rnacentral:tRNA from 1 species
GCUUGACAGAAAAAGCGGUUAUUUACUGAUUUGUAAUCAGUAGGUCCGCGGUUCGAGUCCGUGUGGGGGCACCA